AAGAGAAUUUAGCAACAUUUGCUUCCAGCAGGAGGAGGAUAUGGACAUGAAAAUUUGUGCUAAGAAAUUGGAAGAGGCAGGACGAAAGACAGAACCUGAGGACUUAGCUUAUUCCAUUAUAGCUGGUCUCCCUGAAGAUUAUGAUAUGGUAAUGAUACAGUUCAACAUACUGGAAGACACCAAAUUCACUCCGGAAGCAGUAUCAGAUGCUUUAAUAACCAAGUAUGAAAGUCGGAAAGCUCAUCACUAGGAAACCAAUGAAACUGAAGCGCUUAUGACGAAACAAAAGGGGAAACCACC
rnacentral:lncRNA from 1 species